rnacentral:rRNA from 1 species
AUGGCCAGCGCGGCGUUCUCGCAUUUUGAUGGCUUGCUGGGCACCGCCGUUGGACGGGAGCACACCCUGGACCUCUCCCAGCUUAUCGAGCCUGGCGACCUCGCAUGCCUUGACGAGCCAUUCAGCCCGGAGGAGAUAUGGGAGGCGGUCAAACGCAUGCCGGCACGCAAGGCGCCUAGACCAGAUGGCUUUACCGCGGAGUUCCUGCGUGCUUGCUGGAGCAUCAUCCAGCAAGACAUUUGGGGUGUCUUUGAGCUGCUAUACGCACUGCGAGGCGUGGGUUUAGCAAGCUUAAUCAAGCGUUGCUGA